rnacentral:rRNA from 1 species
AGUGAACGCUGGCGGUAGGCCUAACACAUGCAAGUCGAACGGCAGCACAGUAAGAGCUUGCUCUUACGGGUGGCGAGUGGCGGACGGGUGAGGAAUACAUCGGAAUCUACUUUUUCGUGGGGGAUAACGUAGGGAAACUUACGCUAAUACCGCAUACGACCUACGGGUGAAAGCAGGGGAUCUUCGGACCUUGCGCGAUUGAAUGAGCCGAUGUCGGAUUAGCUAGUUGGCGGGGUAAAGGCCCACCAAGGCGAGGAUCCGUAGCUGGACUGAGAGGAUGAUCAGCCACCCUGGAACUGAGACACGGUCCAGACUACUAAGGGAGGCCGCAGUGGGGAAUAUUGGACAAUGGGGGCAAGCAUGAUCCAGCCAUACCGAGUGGGUGAAGAAGGCCUUCGGGUUGUAAAGCCCUUUUGUUGGGAAAGAAAAGCAGCAGGUUAAUACCCCGCUGUUCUGACGGUACCGAAAGAAUAAGCACCGGCUAACUUCGUG